UGCUGAAGCAGGCAAAAUUAGCAGGUGAGACAUCAAGGAUUACAGGCUAAAAACAAACUAAUAAACAUGAUGAUAAAUUUAUACACAUAAAUCAGUUAAGAAUCACACGGGGAAAAUUCACUUAAAUUACCAAAUUAGAUGAGACAAGAUUCUGCAAUAUGUUGUUACAACCUUAUACCUUGCAUAUGUGAUUGACAACUGACAAACCUAAAACUAUCAAAAGCAAGCCUAUUAUGCAGUGUCUUCACAAAGCGGAUAGAUUUUCAUGGAGUGGAAUUCCUCCUCCGUUCGGAUGUUCCCCGGUUUCUAUGAAGAUCAAAUUUGUUACUUGAUCUCCGGUGAGCAUAUUGAUUAUCGUUAAUCUCCACCCUCCUAGGAGAUCGAGAGGUUCUUUCGUUGGUUCUGUUGGAACUUCUUCCUGCUGAAGUCUUCCAUGAAUUUAUUGGAAGCUUUCUGUCCCCAUAUGUUGAUCGAGCAUCUAGCUCACUAUUAUUUUCUGCCCUCCAACACGAUCUUCUUGAUGGCCUUUCCACAUCUCUGUUUUGAUUUCUCCCCAAGGAUGUCCUCGGAGAGGUAGCUGAAGUAUUCCUAUCAUAAUCUCUAGUCCUCGGAGAGGUAGCUGAAGUAUUCCUAUCAUAAUCUCUAGUCCUCGGAGAGGUAGCUGAAGUAUUCCUAUCAUAACCUCUAGUCCUCGGUGAGGCAGCUGAAGUAGUCCUAUCAUAAUCUCUAGUCCUUGGAGAGGUAGCUAAAGUAUUCCUAUCAUAAUCUCUAGUCCUCGAAGAGGUAGCUGAAGUAUUCCUAUCAUAAUCUCUAGUCCUUGAGUAUAAUCUUCGGGUAGGCUUCCUAUCAUCAUCUCUUGUCAUUGAGUUUCUAUCAUCAACUCUUCUCCUCAAGUUUACUCUUUGGCUAUGCUUCUCAUCUCUACCCUCAUUGUCCGUCUCAUCAUCAUGGUAGUCAUUAUGCACAUCAUCAGAGUCCUCAUCAUAGUCUUCAUCUUCAUCUUCAUUAUCAACAUCAGUUUCCUUUCCAUCACCUUCUUUCAGAUCAUGACUACCUUUUAGCUGCACUUCUUUUGAUUUUUUAUCCUCCGUAACCUUGUUCAUGAGAUAAACAUACUUAGACCUCAGUUCUAUCAACGAGUUCUUCUGAAUUAACAUUCCCCUUUUAUAUCCCUCCUUCAGUACCACAGUAUGUGUGUCGAUCUUACUUGACACAUAGAAUAUCCCAGGAUGCAACAACAAUGCCCUCUUAAACCUAGAACGAAGUCCCAAAUACUCUCCUAUCAAAAGCAAAUUAUCUUUCUCCGCCUUCUUCCCAACACAAAGACUAAGAAUUUCAUGCAAAAUUAUCACUGCCCACUUAUCAGCUUCAUCACUCUUUGCAGGAAGAUUCUUUACAUUCUCAUAUGGCGAAAUAUAAGGCAAUUUUUUCCAUUCAUCAACCCAUUUCUUGUACUUCUUAUCCAUCUCAAACCCAUUUGAAUACUUCAAAUCAAACUUAACUAACAAAUCUUCACUUCCACAUUUCACUGCUUGUUUUUCCAAAGAGGAGACAGCAAGUUCAUGACUCCAACAAACUAAUUCCAACAUUGACUCAUUAUUCACCUGAAAAUAAUCCGGAUAUUCUGGUACUAUAGUUUCCACAAAAUUAUUACACAAGCCCAAAUCCCAUUUAAGCUUAUCAAUAACAUGUAAAGGAAUUUUAUUAGUUUUACCUAU
rnacentral:lncRNA from 1 species